AUUGAACGCUGGCGGCAGGCCUAACACAUGCAAGUCGAGCGGAUGAUGGGAGCUUGCUCCUGGAUUCAGCGGCGGACGGGUGAGUAAUGCCUAGGAAUCUGCCUGGUAGUGGGGGACAACGUUUCGAAAGGAACGCUAAUACCGCAUACGUCCUACGGGAGAAAGCAGGGGACCUUCGGGCCUUGCGCUCUCAGAUGAGCCUAGGUCGGAUUAGCUAGUUGGUGGGGUAAAGGCCUACCAAGGCGACGAUCCGUAACUGGUCUGAGAGGAUGAUCAGUCACACUGGAACUGAGACACGGUCCAGACUCCUACGGGAGGCAGCAGUGGGGAAUAUUGGACAAUGGGCGAAAGCCUGAUCCAGCCAUGCCGCGUGUGUGAAGAAGGUCUUCGGAUUGUAAAGCACUUUAAGUUGGGAGGAAGGGCAGUAAGUUAAUACCUUGCUGUUUUGACGUUACCAACAGAAUAAGCACCGGCUAACUUCGUGCCAGCCGCCGCAGUAA
rnacentral:rRNA from 1 species